rnacentral:rRNA from 1 species
UACGUAGGGUGCAAGCGUUGUCCGGAAUUAUUGGGCGUAAAGAGCUCGUAGGCGGCUUGUCGCGUCGUGUGUGAAAUCUCAGGGCUCAACUCUGACAUUGCAUACGAUACGGGCAGGCUUGAGUUCGGUAGGGGGAGACUGGAAUUCCUGGUGUAGCGGUGAAAUGCGCAGAUAUCAGGAGGAACACCGGUGGUGUAGACGGCUCGCUGGACCGUAACUGACGCUGAGACACGAAAGCGUGGGUAGCAAAACAGG